CCCGACCAACCCGUCAGGGUAGAUAGGAAAUACAAUACCACUCUUGAAAACCAGAUGAGAAGGUUUCCACAAAAGUCUGGUGCCGUACCUUUGAUGAACGAAGAAGCCAAAGCUAAGAGAAGGACACAAAAUAAAGACAAGGAGGUUAUUUUAGUUCGCUUCGGGGCUUUAAAUAAUUAAAUAUUUGAUAAUUUCAGGAGAUGGAUAAUGAAAGGGUAUAUGGGUCAAGCAAUUUACAAUAUAUUAUUAAUUGAUGGUUGAGUGACAAUGAACUUUUUUCUGUACUUUUUUGGAGAGUAAAAAAUAAAAAAAGAAUUGGAAGAGAUUCAUAGGAACACGCAAUAUAGGGGAAGUAACGUGUAAAAGGAAAACGUUGAAGGGGAACGGUAAGAUGAAGACGCAAGUAAAUGAAAAUUUUGAUUGACAAACAGGGGUAGCUCUCAAAAUCAUUUUGGAAAAAUCAAGAAAAUGUUCUACAUUUCACCCACGCCGUCGAAUAUUUGGGAAUAAAUCAAAAAGAAAGGGAAGAAA